ACCUCCAUAUGUCCCAAGUGCGGCCCUAAAAAGACAAAAGACCAAAAAGAAAAGAAAAAAAAAAUUGGAAAGCAGUGUUUGGUAAGGUAGUGAGCUCCCUGUCUCUGGGAGUGUUUAAGAAGCUCAUGGUGGUUCCUGCAGUGGGUAUAAGUUUGGGUCAGAUCUGUCAGCUUCCUUCCAGCUAUUCUAUGCUAGAAAUAUAAGAGCUUGACAAGAGACUUACACAGCAAGCAGAAAUCUCUUAGGCUCCUAUGGCAUGAUAACACAUUUAAGUAAAUCAGAGGAGGGUGGCUGGUGGAGGCUGAGGGAUAAGGAAAGAUCUCAAAGGUUUAGCAUCUUCAGCUGGUCCUGGUCAGCUCAGCUGGUCUUUUCUCCCGCAGAAUUAGAACUCGUGGUUACAAGAUAUAGGAAAUCUAAUUAAUUUAGUUUGACUUACAGAAAAAGGGAAUUUAUUAGCUUACAUAAUCAAAAAAUUCAGGAGUCUGGUCUAGCUCUGGGCGUGGCUGGAUCCACAGUUUCAAAUGAAGUCAUUAAGACUUGGUCUCCAUGUCCCAGCUUUGUUUCUCUCCUUUAUACCCAAAAUUAGCUUGGAAGUUUAGACAACUUUUUUUUUUUUUUUUCCUUUUUACCACCACACCUGCAGCAUAUGGAAUCAAAUCAGAACUGCAGCUGCGGCUUAGGCCAUAGUCUGGCAAUGGCAACAUGGGAUCCCAGCAGCAUCUUUGACCUAUGCAGCAGCUUAUGCCAAAGCCCACCCCUUAACCCACUGAGCAAGGCUAGGAAUCCAACUGCGUGCCCAGACCCUCACAGAGAGCAUGUGGGGUCCUUAACCCACUGAACUACAACAGGAGUUCCACUUGAGACUCAUCCUGACAGAGUGCAGAGCAAAGCCAACUUUGCAGUGGCCUUGGCUGAAGGCUUUCCAAGGCCCCCUUCCCACCUGUAAGUAAUUCCUUAAGAAUGUUUUAUCAUUGAGCCUUUGACUGUCCCAAAGACCCUGCCUCUUCACAUCUUGAACUUAACCCUGUCCUCCCAGUUGGGAUCUCAGGAAGAGGGGGAGAGCUGGGGCCCCUGGACAUUUGCCUGGAACAGGGCGUUUCUUCUGGCUGGAAACAGAUAGCAGUGAGUGAAGGAAGGCCGAUAAAGAAAGCACCUGGAGCUGUGGAAGGGGAGAGGACUACCAGGUAUUUCGUGAGCGGUGACCAGCUAGCAAGGUGUGGCCAAGGGGCCCCUAGAAGGUGUCUGAGGCGGGGUCUGGCUACUCCUACUUAGUUCCCUGGACGCAGGAAUCAGUAAGUUGGCACAGUCCUGGGCGUUCAAUCCUGGGGGCCUAGGCUAGUCUAGGAGCCACGAGCCUCAAUGAUCGGUGAAGUAAGAAGAAAAAUUCAAGGGUGGUAAGGGAGAGAAGGCAGAGGAUUCAGGCUUUGGGAACUGAAAGGAAAACCAAGUUCAUAUCGCACCCAACUUCAAACAGUGAGUCCGCUCCAUUCCGCGAACGCGGGAGGCGGCGGCUCUGACAACCACCUGCCCAGAGCUCGGCGAAGUCCCGGGAGAGACUCCCUCUCUCCGCAGGCUGCGGGCCGGGCCGCACGUCGCCUGCGCAGAGGCGGGGGCCAGGCCGCGUGGUGGCAGGAGGGGGCGCGCGGGGCUCGGUCCUGAGCGAGCCGAAGCAGCGGGCACCGCGGAGCCCUGCCGAGAGGGAGGUCUACAGCCUGGAUUGGGGGCGUUUGAAACUUUGGCUGCGGUUCCGGGCUUGUCCUAGAAGUAAACUUUGUCAAGAGAUCUACAAAGGUCAGGCGAUCUGCAGAGAUGGAAGGGAGAAAUGGCCGAGAUCUGCUGUGGGUUAUGGCCCCAGGGAAGGAAGGUCAGAAGCUGGGAAGCUUGCAAACCCUGGGUGAUGGGAGUGGGGAGGCUUUGCGUGCAAAUCCUGGGGGAUAUUCUAGAAGUGGCUGGACUCCUUCCUCCACCCUUGGCACCCAUCCCUGCAGCACUGAUGCUGAGGCCCCUUUCGACGCCUCUCUCUCAGGUAGACCCACCCAGAGACCAAAGUUCACAUCCCCACCAUAUGGAACCUGUUGCAGGUGUGCAGCUCUCUAGGUAAAAUCUAAACAUUUUUUCAGAAGUUUUAUUUAAAAACUUGGGGACACGACAGAGAACAACAGGAUAGAGACUGGUAUUUUGCCAGGGUUCUCAAACCAGAAAUCAAGCUUGGGUUCUUCAGUUCACUGGGUUCCCUCCAGCCUGUGGGAUCCUGAGCAGGAUACCCAUACAUAUCCUCUCAGGCUCUAACCCCCUCCCCCACUGCCUACUUCCUGUGGCUGAGGAGACACUGAGGCGUCAGCACAGACCAUGAGGCAGCCGGAGUGGGGAGCAUCUGAUUAAACUCCGGAAGGAGGACUGAAAACCUGGGAGUUUGGGGGUUGGGAGGAAUAGAUGAAAAAAAAGGGGUGGGGAGGGGG